UGCAUGUCUCGAUCCUUCGAUAUCACGCAUCCUUCUCUGCUUAUUAGCCGCCGGCCGCCUCAUGACACCUUCAUCUCCUUCUGCUGCCCUCGUUCGCCUUGCCGCCGGUCGAACCAUGCGACGCCGUCGACCUACUGGCUACUGCAGAGGGCACUGAUUCAAGGCACACCCAACGUCAUCUAUGAUUAGAGGAAAAAAUUCUGCAUGGACUCCGUGAAACCGAGGAGGAACUGAUCAGAUUAAAAGAGAAGUAUGAUGCCCAGUUGUAUGGAAAUAUUUCAUACAUUUAGGACUACUGUCAUGGGAAGAUUGAUGGAAAUAUUACCAAGAAAAUGAAUAUACUGCACAAUGUAUUCAUUUUCUAAGCUUACUGCAGUAUAUUCAGAACAAGGAAAAGAGCAGAUUACUGCAGUGUAUUCAGAACAAGGAAAACGGCAGUUGUCCAACUUUUCUCCACGUUAUCUAUGGUAUGGGCUCAGUUUAAGUUUGAACCCUUUUAUUUUAUAUUUUUCGUAGUUGACAGUUUGCUACUCAUCUUUGUGCACUAAGCCUUGAUGGAUAGUACAUCCACAUGUCCUCCUCUGUUUAAGUAUCUUGCUUAUAAAUCCAAACAAAUUAGUCAGUGCUGACUGUGUUAUCUUCCCAACUAUUCUGCAAUUUGCAUAUGCUGAACUGACUAAAUAUGCCUAUUUGUCCAAGGUCUGAACAACAUGUUUGAGAUUUUAAACCACAAAAAUUGUCAUUCUCUAUUUUUUAUUCACUUAAUGUACCUUAUAAGGUUUCAUGCAUAGUUUCUUUUUGUUGCAACAAAUUCUGUUUUCAACUCGACAAUUUGGAUCUCGGUACUUAUGUGUAUAAUCACUCAUGCUCUAUUCAGCCUAAUGCUUUGAGCAAAAAGAAUUGGUACUCACUUUGGCAAACAGAGAGAAAGGAAUAUGUUUUUUUUGUUGAUAUUGGAGCUCCAUCACCCACUGUCAAGUAUUGCAAGCAAGCAACUAAAGCAACUACAGUGGCCAAUAAUGCAUAUAUGAAGAUUGAUUUACAACAACAGCUCCAACAUUUGUACAUAAUCUUUCAUAUUGUGUCUCUUUCCGAAUCCCCGUUAGUGUGUUUAUAUACAUUAAUAUUCCUGCAAGUCAAACGAGAUUACUUAAUUAUGCCAUAUCAAGAUGUGUCCAUUGCAGUUUUCUCAUCUUAAGUUCUUAAUACAUUAUGCAAAAAGUUAUUCAAUUUAUCUAUCAUCAUUUUCAUAGGACUAAGAGUUCCCGCAGCAAUGCGCGGGGUAUCAUCUAGUAUAUAUAUUAGUACACUGCACAAGGUUGUUUUGGCGAGAAGCGUACCUUGUGCAGCAAACUGCUAUACUUCAUGUAGGAGUGAGCCUAUUGUUUUGUAAGGCAAAAAUCAUGUUCUACUCCCGAGCUCAUUUGAGCUUGGGAUGGAGAGUAAAAUCUAAAAAUAAUUAAAAAAAAUAAAAAAAAUUGAAAUAUCUUUGGUGCAAAUAUUGCCAAAAGUUUUACGUGCUCACAAAAUUUCAUGUUGAAAAGACAUUUUUGGAAAUCGUGGCAAAAGAAACAAAAUCAACACUCCAAAAUGCUUUCGAAAACAACAUUUCAUGUUCUACUCCCGAGCUCAUUUGAGCUUGGGAUGGACAGUAAAAUCUAAAAAAAAAUAAAAUAAAAUUGAAAUAUUUUUGGUGCAAAUAUUGCCAAAAGUUUUACGUGCUCACAAAAUUUCAUGUUGAGAAGACAUUUUUGGAAAUCGUGGCAAAAGAAACAAAAUCAACACUCCAAAAUGCUUUCGAAAACAACAUUUUUGAAGCAUCAAUUUUUUUUUUUACGAUGACUUUCAAAAAUGUGAUUUUGAGAUGAAUUUUUGUGAGCACGUAAUUUUUUUGUCAAUGUUUGUACCCAAAAAAUCAGAAAUUUUGAUUUUUAUUGGAUUUUACUGUUCACCCAAGCACAUGUGAGCUCGGGCUCAGAAACUCCACAUCCUUUGUAAGCAGCUUUUUUAUAUAGAAAGUCAUAUUACGAGUGGGCUCGCAUUUUAGUUUUUUCUAGUGCAAGCUAUGCCUAUUAUGAAAUGCACAACAAUAGCUGCUAUCCUUGUUUUAGGUUCUGCCAAUGGCCGACUGGGAUGUCUCUACUGUCUCAUCACCUCGAUGAUAUAUUGUCAGGGUAAGGAAUUAUUAGGAAAUACACGCACAUUUUCAGCUUAUCGUGUUUACUCUAAACAAUAUUUCUUCUAAACAAAAUAUAAUAUUAUUUAUGAUCUAGUGUCUAUUUGCAAAAAUUCUUUCUAAACAUCAAAUUAUUUGUUAGCUAUUUCCGCAGCAGCGUGUGAGGUAUCAUCUACCAACCCACACCAUGACAAAGGAAUUGCUUCAUACAACCAAUAGGUCUUAGGGAUGCAAGAGUGGGUCCCACUAAGCCCGCAAAACAUGA